CUAUGGCGAACAGGACAUAAGGACGAACAAGAACAAACCCUGCACAAACGGACUCGUGCGAACAGGCAUAUGCAAGCAAUGUAAUGCCAAGUGACUGAAACAGAAGAGUUUUAUCUCACAGUCUUGAACUGGAAGAUGACGAAACAUUUCAAUGAAAUCUCUGGAAAUGACAUCAUCAAAUAAACAAAGACUGGAGUUCAGAAGACCAGUUCAACACUUCGGAUAAAAUUUAU